UGGGGAAUAUUGCACAAUGGGCGCAAGCCUGAUGCAGCAACGCCGCGUGAGGGACGACGGCCUUCGGGUUGUAAACCUCUUUUAGUAGGGAAGAAGCGAAAGUGACGGUACCUGCAGAAAAAGCACCGGCUAACUACGUGCCAGCAGCCGCGGUAAUACGUAGGGUGCGAGCGUUGUCCGGAAUUAUUGGGCGUAAAGAGCUCGUAGGCGGUCUGUCGCGUCUGCUGUGAAAACCCGAGGCUCAACCUCGGGCCUGCAGUGGGUACGGGCAGACUAGAGUGCGGUAGGGGAGAAUGGAAUUCCUGGUGUAGCGGUGGAAUGCGCAGAUAUCAGGAGGAACACCGAUGGCGAAGGCAGUUCUCUGGGCCGUAACUGGCGCUGAGGAGCGAAAGCGUGGGGAGCGAAACAGGAUUAGAUACCCUGGUAGUCCACGCCGUAAACGUUGGGCGCUAGAUGUGGGGACCAUUCCACGGUUUCCGUGUCGCAGCUAACGCAUUAAGCGCCCCGCCUGGGGAGUACGGCCGCAAGGCUAAAACUU
rnacentral:rRNA from 1 species